GACGAACGCUGGCGGCGUGCUUAACACAUGCAAGUCGAACGGAAAGGCCCUGCUUUUGUGGUGUGCUCGAGUGGCGAACGGGUGAGUAACACGUGAGUAACCUGCCCUUGACUUUGGGAUAACUUCAGGAAACUGGGGCUAAUACCGGAUAGGAGCUCCUGCUGCAUGGUGGGGGUUGGAAAGUUUCGGCGGUUGGGGAUGGACUCGCGGCUUAUCAGCUUGUUGGUGGGGUAGUGGCUUACCAAGGCUUUGACGGGUAGCCGUCCUGAGAGGGUGACCGGCCACAUUGGGACUGAGAUACGGCCCAGACUCCUACGGGAGGCAGCAGUGGGGAAUAUUGCACAAUGGGCGGAAGCCUGAUGCAGCAACGCCGCGUGCGGGAUGACGGCCUUCGGGUUGUAACCCGCUUUCGCCUGUGACGAAGCGUGAGUGACGGUAAUGGGUAAAGAAGCACCGGCUAACUACGUG
rnacentral:rRNA from 1 species